CACUCACCUCCAGCUGGCCAGAUCCCUCAGGCCCCCAGUCAGACCAGCGGCCAUCUUCUGGCACCCUCCCUGCUCCCUGGAGGGUCUGAGAGCCCAGGGGGACCAGGGGAAGACAUGGCUAAUGGGCAGACUUUGAGGGCACAGGGUGUGACAGCCACCCAGAUGGUGACCCCAGCUGCCCUGUGGGGAUGUACUGGGCAGGCUUGGCUUCGGGCCAAGAUCCAGACACCACCCCCCCUACCCCUCAGUGUUCAGGGAAGCUGGCUGGGGAGAAGUUGGGUGUCUCAAGGAGCAAGGGUCUGCCCAUCCCUGGGUGGGGGCUGGACAGGGUAGGGAAAAUAGCUUUCCUUUCCUUCCUGGUGAAGGAAAAAGAGGCCACUUUAACCCGGGGAAUGUGCACGCUGGUCCCGUUCCCACUACGUGCUGCAGCUUAUAUGUGGGGGAGGGUCCAGGCCAUUCAGGGUCAGGCAGUGUCUCUAAGGGCCAGGGACAGUCUGUGCCCUUGCUUGGGUCUUGGGUAGGGGUGGAAACCAUCUGGGAGUUGGGGGCCUCCUGGGGCCUGGUCGGUGUAGUGGUCAAUCCCGGGGGAAGUCCAGUGUUGGCGGUUGGGGGUGGGAGGAGAAUGGUGACACAGCCCCACCUCAGAAGCCUGGUCCGUGCAGGGCCUGCUGGACCCCUGAGCCCCACCACGGGGAGUAAGGGGGACAGCGUGGAAGCUGGGCUUCCUGGAAGAGGUGGAGUGCCACAGGCAGCCCAGGGCACAAAGGGUAUGGGCCACAGGCAGCUGUGGUUUGGGGGGCCCUGGGCUGCCCCGCUCACUGGUCACGAGAUGGUGAAUGCCAUGGAGCAGGGCCCAAGCCCAGGUGUAAAGCUACUACCGCCCUUGAGCGGCUGAGCUGCUGAUUCAUGGCAGGAGGGCGGGGCAGAAGGCCCUAGGGAUCCUGUUACCCACCAGCCCAGUGGGCUCCUGGAGUGCCCUGACAUUCCUUCUGAGACCCAGGUUCCUGGGCUGGGGAAGGGGUGUCAGGGUGGGGCUUUGCCCUCAGGAGCAUCUGGUCCAGGAUGGGGCCAGACCUGUGGGAGGACAAUGCCCACACAGAGGGGUCAGGCGGAGGGCCCCAGCAGGUCCCCAUCCCUGCUGGAGAGAGUGCAGCCACUCUCAGCCUGAGCUUUGCAGGACAGCACAGGCAGGGGUGGGAUGGGUAGAGACACCAGUACUUGCAAUGCUUGGAGCAGGCACCCCACAGAUGGGGGGAGUGGGGGGAGGAGCUGGGGGUCCAAAAGGGCCCACGGGGACCUAUGCGACUGAGAGGCCCGGGGUCAGUGGCCACAGGAGUGGGGUUGGGGAUGCAGCCUGAGGAGUCUGGGGAACAGACCCCUCCGUGUAGAAAGAGGGACACAGGCAGGACAGGGGCAGAUGGACCCCUUGUUGGGGGACGGAUGGAUCAGGCUCAGUGGUAGGGCAUCCUUGGGGUGGCCUGCGAAGUUGACCCCGGGAACACAGGGCUCAGCCCGACUUGCGGCUGCCAUAGAAGUCAGCGCUCAGGCUGUCAAGGAUGGGCCCUGCGCCCUGGAACCGUGGGGAGUUAGGACUGGAGCCGGGGGGAGGGGGCUCCUGCUGAGACCCCCCCAGGGCGGGGAAGUUCAGCCAAAGGGGAGAAGCUGGCAGAAGUAUCUCCGCGCCGCGUCCGGCCCUUUAUGGGGACGAAGCUGCGGGGCGGCGCUCCCCUCCCCCUGCGCUUCCCCCCAGGGCUCCGGCCCUCCCCCGGCGGCGGCCGCCUCGGGUUUCCGGAGGGGCCGGAGGGCGGGCGAGGGCGUCACGUGCGCGCCGCCCGCGGGCCGGUUGGUCCCGGGGCGGGGGAGGGGCCGUCCGCAGCCUGGGUGGGGGUCGGGCCGGGGUCGGCACCUGGGACAUCCCUGAGGGAAGGGCCGGGAGCAGGAGCGCCCCAGCGGCGAGCGGGCGGGCGAGCGGACGAGCGGCGCGGAGCCGGCCCGGGGCGCGCGCCGAGGGAACCCCGUCCCCGGUCGUGGGGGCACCGCCCGCAGGCUCUGCGGGGUGGGCAGCUCCCGGGCCUGCCAUGAGCUCUCCGCCGCCCGCCCGCAGUGGCUUUUACCGCCAGGAGGUGACCAAGACGGCCUGGGAGGUGCGCGCCGUGUACCGGGACCUGCAGCCGGUGGGCUCGGGCGCCUACGGCGCGGUGUGCUCGGCCGUGGACAACCGCACCGGCGCUAAGGUGGCCAUCAAGAAGCUGUAUCGGCCCUUCCAGUCCGAGCUGUUCGCCAAGCGCGCCUACCGCGAGCUGCGCCUGCUCAAGCACAUGCGCCACGAGAACGUGAUCGGGCUGCUGGACGUAUUCACUCCUGAUGAGACCCUGGAUAACUUCACAGACUUUUACCUGGUGAUGCCGUUCAUGGGCACCGACCUGGGCAAGCUCAUGAAACAUGAGAAGCUAGGCGAGGACCGGAUCCAGUUCCUCGUGUACCAGAUGCUGAAGGGGCUGAGGUAUAUCCACGCUGCCGGCAUCAUCCACAGAGACCUGAAGCCCGGCAACCUGGCUGUGAACGAAGACUGUGAGCUGAAGAUCCUGGACUUUGGCCUGGCCAGACAGGCAGACAGUGAGAUGACUGGGUACGUGGUGACCCGGUGGUACCGGGCUCCCGAGGUCAUCUUGAAUUGGAUGCGCUACACGCAGACGGUGGACAUCUGGUCUGUGGGCUGCAUCAUGGCGGAGAUGAUCACAGGCAAGACGCUAUUCAAGGGCAGCGACCACCUGGACCAGCUGAAGGAGAUCAUGAAGGUGACGGGGACGCCUCCGGCUGAGUUUGUGCAGCGGCUGCAGAGCGAUGAGGCCAAGAACUACAUGAAGGGCCUCCCCGAAUGGGAGAAGAAGGAUUUUGCCUCCAUCCUGACCAAUGCAAGCCCUCUGGCUGUGAACCUCCUGGAGAAGAUGCUGGUGCUGGACGCGGAGCAGCGGGUGACGGCAGCCGAGGCGCUGGCCCAUCCCUACUUCGAGUCCCUGCACGACACGGAAGAUGAGCCCCAGGUCCAGAAGUAUGAUGACUCCUUUGACGACGUGGACCGCACACUGGAUGGAUGGAAGCGUGAGUGGGGGGCUCCUGGCACGGCCUGUGUGGACCCAAGUGGGGGGCUCUGGGCAGGGCCUGUGUGAACCUGUGAGUUGGGGGCUCCGGGUAGGGCCUGUGUGGACCCGUGAGUUGGGGGCUCCGGGUAGGGCCUGUGUGGACCCGUUGGGCCCUGUGCAGGUGGCCAGGCUCAGAGUCCUAGAUCCCCAUCCCUGGGAUGCAGGUCAGGUGAGGAGGACGGGAGGUCAGGGCAGCAUGGGGCCGUGUGGCCUAGUGGAGAUGACCUCUGGCUGGAGCUGGAAGAUGAAGGGAAGGGUGUUCCUGGCAGGCUCAGCACAGAGGCUGGCACAGAAGGAGCCGGGAGUGGUGAAAGGCAGCUGUGAGUCAGGGAACCAGGGCCCACUUAGCCCCUCCUGGCCCCCAGACCUGCUGCCCUUCCGCCAUGUCCAGGCCAGAGACCUGGGCCACCCUGACACCCUCACCACGUCCGUUUGUCCCUAAGGCCUCUCUGCUCACACCUCCUGAAUCUGUCCUUGCCUCUCCUUGCCCCAUUUUUGUUUUUCGAGACGGAGUCUCACUCUGAUGCCCAGGCUGGAGGGCAGUGGCACGAUCUUGACUAACUGCAAGCUCCGUCUCCCAGUAGAGACGGGGUUUCACCGUGUUAGCCAGGAUGGUCUUGAUCUCCUGACCUCGUGAUCCACCUGCCUUGGCCUCCCAAAGUGCUGGGAUUACAGGCAUGAGCCACCGCGCCCAGCUCUCUCCUUGCCCCACUUUAGGAUCCCUCCCCCCUGGACAACUGUAUACCCAAGACAGUCCCCAGGGCCUUGCCUGUCUCCCCCAGCCCCCGCUAAGCAGUCCAGACCCCAACCCCAACUGCUGGGGUCCAUCAUCCCCUAUACCAGGGGCUAUCCCCUCAACUUGGAGGGCUGGCCAAAGCCUGUGCAGCCUCAGGCUGGACUCAGAGAAGCCUCCCCAGCUCCCACAGCUAUGCUGUGGCCUGAGGCUGUGCUGGACCUGGCUUCAUUUCUGCUCCAGGAUGGCAGGCUGUGUCUUCUUCAUGGCUGCAUGACCAGCCUGGGGUGGAUGUGCCCGGGGAAAGUAGGUGUACACUGGGAGCCGUGCCAUGUUUCAGGCCCUGUCCUGGCUCUGCCUCGGGCGCAGGACCUUGGUCCUCCACACUGGCUGGGUGGGGCUGGAUGGGUUGAGACUCACCUGCGCUCCUUAGGACCACGGGCUGGAUGGGUUGAGACUCACCUGCGCUCCUUAGGACCACGGGCUGGAUGGGUUGAGACUCACCUGCGCUCCUUAGGACCACGGGCUGGAUGGGUUGAGACUCACCUGCGCUCCUUAGGACCACGGGCUGGAUGGGUUGAGACUCACCUGUGCUCCUUAGGACCACGGGCUGGAUGGGUUGAGACUCACCUGUGCUCCUUAGGACCACGGGCUGGAUGGGUUGAGACUCACCUGUGCUCCUUAGGACCACGGGUCCCUGGGUGCCCGCAGCAGGGCCUCCACCCUUCGCUGUGUGCGUAUUCGUGUGCUUAUGAGUUUGGCUUUGUUUGAUUAAAGGCUUCUGCUGCUAGAAAGAUAACUUAAAAGCCAUGGGCCAUAGGAUCCUCUCUGUAGUCCCCACCCACACAACUGUGGCUGAGGCCUCAGCUCUUAGGACAGACCGUAGUGGACAUGUGGCCAAGCCCUGGCCACCUCCCCUUUCCCUGGAAAAUCCAGAUCUAGAGCAAUGGCCUCUUCACACAAACCUUCUCUCAGUGGUUCAGACCACAUUAGGAUUAGAGAAGCGCCCCACGAGGCACCGCCAGGCGUGUCUGUGAGCGACUCCGAGGAUGGAAGGCAAAGGCUGACCCCCCUCUCUGUUGUGCCCGCCCCCCACCACCCCGCCAGGUGUUACUUACAAAGAGGUGCUCAGCUUCAAGCCUCCCCGGCAGCUGGGGGCCAGGGUCUCCAAGGAGACGGCUCUGUGAAGAUCUCUGGGCUCCGGGGUGGCAGUGAGGACCACCUUCACCUUCCACCUGAGAGGGGACUCUCGUUGCCACUGUGACUUUGGCUGGGGCUUGCAUCCGAAGGCAUCCAUCAGAGCAGACGCCCGGGUUCCAUGGACCCUCCUCCCCACGGCCAUGCCUCUGCUCUUGGGCGCCCAUCAUGGAGGAGCACCUGAACUUUCUGGACAAGACCUCUGGCCGACCUGGGGAUGGCCUCUGAUCCCUGGAGCAGUGGCCCACUUGCCCGGUGCCCUCAGAAACCUCAGAGCUGGUGGGGCUCCAGAUCAGGCCUUGCCUGAGCCCUGCCUGCUCUGGGCCAUGCAGAGGAAGGACAGAGGGUGGGCGCAGGGCUCCAACUCAGGGACAUCCCCUCUCCUGGGCGACGUCAGUGGACCUUCCUGCACCCCCAGCCUGGAAUGUAAAUCAGCUGUGUGGUGCCCACGUGGCUGGAAGGAAAUAGACCCUUUUGUAGCUCCCUGUUA